CCCCAGCCAUCGCCUGGAGGGCAUCCAGUGUCUGUUAUCACUCACCUUGGGUAGUCUGUGAAGGUCCAGUCAUCACUGGUGCACGUGUAUCUUACCUGUGAUCAACACCGGCAGCCACAGACUCCUGCCCAAGGAACGAACACAGUGAUCGUGAUGACAUUGACAACAACGAGCAAGUCCUCCUAGACCUAGAGUGACCUCAAGCUGGGCCAAACAUGAUGUGGAAGAAGAAAUCAGUUGUCUCCAUCAGUCGGGUUUGUGCCAUGGCAGCUUUCUCCAGCUGUCCGGCAGAGGUCCAGUCCAUGCCAUGGAGAAAUUCAGCCCCCAACAAUGAGAUGGCAUGCCAGAGAUGGAUCCGCAGCUUCUCCUCCAAUCAGUCAAUCCUUGCAAUGCCCUUUCUCUUUUCUCUUCUUCUGUACCACCAUGCUUACACAUAACUGAUCCAAGGUACUUAAACUCGUUAACCUCCUCCAUUUCUUCACUAUUCAAAAUUAUUUGGCAU